rnacentral:lncRNA from 1 species
CUAACUGUCACGCUGUCCUCCUCAUACCACUUUUUUAUAACAGAGUCCAGCUGUCACACUGUCCUCCUCAUACCACUUUUAAAACAGAGUCCAACUGUCACGCUGUCCUCCUCAUACCACUUUUAAAACAGAGUCCAACUGUCACGCUGUCCUCCUCAUACCACUUUUAAAACAGAGUCCAGCUGUCACGCUGUCCUCCUCAUACCACUUUUAAAACAGAGUCCAACUGUCACGCUGUCCUCCUCAUACCACUUUUUUAAAACAGAAGUCCAGCUGUCACGCUGCCCUCCUCAUACCACUUUUAAAACAGAGUCCAACUGUCACGCUGUCCUCCUCAUACCACUUUUUUAAAACAGAGUCUAACUGUCACGCUGUCCUCCUCAUACCGCUUUUAAAACAGAGUCUAACUGUCACACUGUCCUCCUCAUACCACUUUUAAAACAGAGUCUAACUGUCACGCUGUCCUCCCCAUACCACUUUUAUAACAGAGUCCAACUCUCACGCUGUCCUCCUCAUUCCACUUUUAAAACAGAGUCCAACUGUCACGCUGUCCUCCUCAUACCACUUUUUUAUAACAGAGUCCAGCUGUCACGCUGUCCUCCUCAUACCACUUUUAAAACAGAGUCCAACUGUCAAGCUGUCCUCCUCAUACCACUUUUUUAUAACAGAGUCCAACUGUCACACUGUCCUCCUCAUACCACUUUUAAAACAGAGUCCAACUGUCACGCUGUCCUCCUCAUACCACUUUUUUAAAACAGAGUCUAACUGUCCUCCUCAUACCACUUUUUUAUAACAGAGUCCAGCUGUCACGCUGUCCUCCUCAUACCACUUUUAAAACAGAGUCUAACUGUCACACUGUCCUCCUCAUACCACUUUUAAAACAGAGUCUAACUGUCACACUGUCCUCCACAUACCACUUUUAAAACAGAGUCUAACUGUCACGCUGUCCUCCUCAUACCACUUUUAAAACAGAGUCUAACUGUCACGCUGUCCUCCUCAUACCACUUUUUUAUAACAGAGUCCAGCUGUCACGCUGUCCUCCUCAUACCACUUUUAAAACAGAGUCCAACUGUCACGCUGUCCUCCUCAUACCACUUUUAAAACAGAGUCCAACUGUCACGCUGUCCUCCUCAUAC